UAGACAUUAUCCUGCAUUCCAGAAACAAAUUUCACGUCGUUUACUCAUUCAUUUCACCUCUCAGCUUGCACUUUCCAGGGUGCAUCACGCCUCCGAACCAUCCGGUCCUCAGCACCUUUCCAAUUUUACAAAUAUUUCUACCUCACACAUAUUUAAGGAUUCCAUCUGAGCAGCCUAAGUCUAUAAAAGAGAGAGGUCAAACAACAGCAAUGAUGCCAGAGGUGCCUGUUCGCCCCACAUGAACGCCAACAGUGUAAAACUAUCAACUUUGAGGACAACGAAUCCGACGAAGAUUAUUCGUAAUAGUGAAAGCGGCACACUUCAUCAGGUGACACCUCUAGAGUGAACACCGCAAAUUAUAGGACUUCAUAUGUUCCUGUCAUCCACCACAAAGGUCCAAGUGUUUCACGAUGUAGGCAACAUGCAAGAAAAAAAUUACCUUUGGCAGCCUGCAAAGGCGUGCCAGUUAGUCAGUUGUAACGGCAGUAGCCACGAGUGGGGCCAGAAAUGUGCGCUCGCUUGUACAUUCUAUCACUGCCAACUCAUGCUGAGGAAGGCCAUCUCCUCCUGAUGGUCCUGAUGGUGAAGAAGACUCCUCUACUAGAGCAGUGUUUCCCAAAGUGUGGUCCGCAAAACUGUCCAUGGGGGUCCGCGACCGUCUCUCACAUUUCAAUGAGGAUUUUCGUCCCCACAAACACGUGCUCGUACAUGCUGCCCGAUUUCCAAACACCCAGAACUUCCAAAAUUGCUACAAGCAUGCUUCAACGGCUAGCUUCUCAUUUCUGAUAGAAAAGUCCUGCAAUGCACGUUUGUCCGCGUCAUACACAUACAAACAAGAAGAAACCAGUCCGGAAUCGUUUCUGAAGCUGUAUCGAAAGCACGCAGCAGCUGACGAGGUUGCUGGUUAUACACUGGCUGUGACGGUGUGUGUGGGGGGGGGGAUUCCGUGAAUUGGUUCUCAUCGCUUCCGGGGGUCCGUCACCGCCAAAAGUUUGGGAAACACUGUACUAGAGGAGUAAGAACACACCACGUGAUGCCAUCGAGAACACUCCACCUCUCCAGCAUUCUUUCCAUGAACUUUCCAUCCUGUGCGAGCAUCACCUUAUCUGUCGUGAGAAACACUUGUUAGAAGAAAAGGUAUAGAAGAGGUAUAACGAAGGUAUAAACCAGGACUAAACUUCCAUAUUUAUACCUCAUCACCAACGUCUAUACCCCGUUUAAACCAUGUGGGAGGUAUAAAUUGCCGAGGCUAUACCUUCUACGCCAGUUGAGGGUAUAAUUAAGGUACUUCUCUCUUGCGUUUAUACCUUCGGUAUUUUGUAUACCUUUAGAUAUGAACCUGUGGUACCACAUUAAUUUGUGGUGGAGACAGUACCAUCUCAGCUAAGCAGUAAUUUAAUUAGGAAACACAGUCAGUAAUACAGUUGCACCAUAAUUAAAAGGGGGAAUGGUUUA